rnacentral:rRNA from 1 species
GCGGUUUGUCGCGUCUGCUGUGAAAACCCGAGGCUCAACCUCGGGCCUGCAGUGGGUACGGGCAGACUAGAGUGCGGUAGGGGAGACUGGAAUUCCUGGUGCAGCGGUGGAAUGCGCAGAUAUCAGGAGGAACACCGAUGGCGAAGGCAGGUCUCUGGGCCGCAACUGACGCUGAGGAGCGAAAGCAUGGGGAGCGAACAGGAUUAGAUACCCUGGUAGUCCAUGCCGUAAACGUUGGGCACUAGGUGUGGGGCUCAUUCCACGAGUUCCGUGCCGUAGCAAACGCAUUAAGUGCCCCGCCUGGGGAGUACGGCCGCAAGGCUAAAACUCAAAGGAAUUGACGGGGGCCUGCACAGGCGGCGGAGCAUGCGGAUUAAUUCGAUGCAACGCGAAGAACCUUACCAAGGCUUGACAUAUACCGAAAACUCAUGGAGACAUGGGGUCCGCAAGGGCGGUAUACAUGUGGUGCAUGGUUGUCGUCAGCUCGUGUCGUGAGAUGUUGGGUUAAGUCCCGCAACGAGCGCAACCCUCGUCCUAUGUUGCCAGCACGUCAUGGUGGGGACUCAUAGGAGACUGCCGGGGUCAACUCGGAGGAAGGUGGGGAUGACGUCAAAUCAUCAUGCCCCCUAUGUCUUGGGCUUCACGCAUGCUACAAUGGCCGGUACAAAGGGCUGCGAUACCGCGAGGUGGAGCGAAUCCCAAAAAGCCGGUCUCAGUUCGGAUUGGGGUCUGCAACUCGACCCCAUGAAGUCGGAGUCGUC